rnacentral:rRNA from 1 species
GUAUCCUGGCUCAGGAUGAACGCUAGCGACGAGGCUUAACACAUGCAAGUCGAGGGGCAUCAUGAGGUAGCAAUACCUUGAUGGCGACCGGCGCACGGGUGAGUAACGCGUAUGCAACCUGCCUGAUACCGGGGUAUAGCCCAUGGAAACGUGGAUUAACACCCCAUAGUACUUUAUCCUGCAUGGGAUGUGAGUUAAAUGUUCAAGGUAUCGGAUGGGCAUGCGUCCUAUUAG